rnacentral:misc_RNA from 1 species
UAUAGUUACCUUACAGUGAUGGAGGAUCGACUCUUGGCCUAGGAGCGGUAAACUUCGAUUCUGUUAACAGCUGGUUAAUAUGAGUGUAACGGACACCUCUGCAAGUUCACAAAAUAUGAUGUCUGACUCCGAUGAUACAGGAAUAGUGAACAUGUUCCCAAAGAGCACUAGUGAAUGGGGCUCUAAUUUUGUGGAGAAACUCGGUGUCAGAUGCAGACAAUGUGACAUCUUUGAAAUAAUCGUAAACAGGUGGCGAUUGUUUAAUUUGUUUGAUGAGGACUAUCUGGAAGUCGAAAGCUGUACCAACGCAUGUGAUUUAGAGGCUAAUUACGAUUCUUUAGAAGAUAUGUCAACUGAAAAAGCUUUUUCGCCUGAGGUUCAGUGGAGGAUGCGCGUUCGAACCCAGGAGAAUGACAUUCUAAGAGACCCACUGAUAUCAAAAUGGUAAGAAUGGUACGUGUGAGGAAUACAUAAUCUUCUUUAUAGGUUCCUAGGGAAAUUGACAGAAAUAAACCACUGCAUAGCAUCCAUAAUUUCCCAAAUUGAGCCGGGCGGAGUUGUUUCAGAGUUAAAAUACCAGGUUUUGUUUGAAAAGGUGCUGCAGGCUUUUGGAUUAUCAACUUUGAGCCAUCCAUUUAUAGUUACACAAAAAGCUCAAAUCCUGGGUAGAACUACAUCGUCAAAAGCUGAUAUAUUGUGUUGUCGAGAUGAUUUGGAAAACCCAGUUAUCUUUGUGUGUGAGGUGAAGAAAGCUUUAUCAAAUGAAGAUGAUAAUUUGCCUCCUCCUCCGACAAAGAGACCCAGAGCUACAUGUAGCACAUUGGACGAUGUAGAUACCUGUGACUCUGGGAACCAAUGGAGUUGGUCUCAACAUAUUGGUGAACUGUUUGUAUACCUGGAGCAGUCACCCAUAUCUGAUAGGAUUCUUGGCUUCACCAUUGAGAAGACCUUGGUAAGAGUAACUUUGCUAAAAGUUCACCCGGCUGCUAUGGAGAAAAUUCAGAAUACACCUGUAAAUAGGCCUGGAUCUCUGAAGCUGAAUGAAUAUGAAAAACCAGAAUUUUACUACAGUCAGUGCUAUAAUUUUUUGAAGAGACAACAUCGGAAAGAUUUAUUUAAGACUCUUUUGCUAAUAAAGAUAAUGCAAGUAAGGAGAGAGGCUGCUAGAAAUAGUUGAGACAUGCCAAGGAUUACAAAUUAGGUACUAGUAUAUGAAACUACAUAAAAAAACUAAUUUUCUGAGUGAAGCAUUGAGAACAUGAAUUGUGAAAUUUAUCUAGACAAGGAAAACCUUUCAGAAAACACAGUCACUGAACCAUUAUAAACUUCAUUGCAUCUGAUGGACAUAUUAAGUGCCCAUCCGAUAGUAGUUCUGGUUUGGGCACUAUCCAGUGUGGUUUCCAAAUCCAGGAGACCAAUGGGAAACCACCCUAUUGGUCUUGUAGUGAAUUUGCACAAGUUGUUUCAACAUUUUCUUCUCUGCUAUUUGAUGGAAGGGGGAAGGAAGUUAAUGGUUAGAAUGAGCGAGAAAGUCUAUACCAAACUUGUGAAAUUCACGACCCUUUAGUCAGUGGUUGUAAUGUUUUUAAAAAAGGUUCGUCCGUCAUCAGUGAGAAAGUAAAAAAUGCAAAGAUGUUCAGAAAUAUUCUUUGCACUGAAUAUUUUGCUGACAGACUUGCGUGUUUAAGAUAAGCAAAGAAGCUGAUUUUCAAUAUUGUGAUUCUAUGACUACUUUGUGGACUCUAACUAUAUGUAGGUAUAACCUGCAUCAAACGUAUAAUGCAUGUGGUGAACAAAUAAAGUGCCAAUUGGUCAGUAAUUUUUGGAGACUAUUGGUCAUAAACUGACUUUGCAUGAAUGUUAUGUGUGCAGAGAAAUAAAAUUAUAAUGAAAC